AUAUUAAAAUUUCGUCCAGCUAUGUUAUUUUCUCAUCAUGCUUGCAUCGAAACUACAUGCAUCUGUUAGAUCAUAUUUGAUCUAUUCGGCGAUGUACCCAAUUUUUGAAGACAUAAGAAACAUUUGAUGUUAGGAUCCGAUGAUUCGAAAUAUGUGAUAUGAGCAAUAUCAUAUGAUCCUACCAGUAUCACAGACAUCGACAUCUAACUG
rnacentral:lncRNA from 1 species